ensembl:snoRNA SNORD82 Small nucleolar RNA SNORD82
AGCACAAAUGAUGAACUAUAAAGGGACUUAAUUCUGAAACACUUGAUGUUAGCUUGCAGUAUACUGAUGUGC